AGAGCGAACGCUGGCGGCAGGCCUAACACAUGCAAGUCGAGCGCCCCGCAAGGGGAGCGGCAGACGGGAGAGUAACACGUGGGAACGUGCCCUUUGGUUCGGAACAACACAGGGAAACUUGUGCUAAUACCGGAUAAGCCCUUACGGGGGAAAGAUUUAUUGCCAAAGGAUCGGCCCGCGUCUGAUUAGCUUGUUGGUGAGGUAACGGCUCACCAAGGCUACGAUCAGUAGCUGGUCUGAGAGGAUGAUCAGCCUCACUGGGACUGAGACACGGCCCAGACUCCUACGGGAGGCAGCAGUGGGGAAUAUUGGACAAUGGGCGCAAGCCUGAUCCAGCCAUGCCGCGUGGAUGAUGAAGGCCUUAGGGUUGUAAAGUCCUUUCGGCGGGGAAGAUAAUGACGGUACCCGCAGAAGAAGCCCCGGCUAACUUCGUGUCAGCAGCCGC
rnacentral:rRNA from 1 species